rnacentral:tRNA from 1 species
CGGAGCGUAGCGCAGUCUAAUAGCGCAUCUGCUUUGGGAGUAGAGGGUCGCCGGUUCGAAUCCGGCCGCUCCGA